GGGUCCAUAGCGCAGCUUGGAUAGCGCGGUUGGCUUCGGACCAACAGGUCGGGGGUUCGAAUCCCUCUGGGCCCG
rnacentral:tRNA from 1 species